rnacentral:rRNA from 1 species
UGAGGAAUAUUGGUCAAUGGACGGAAGUCUGAACCAGCCAAGUCGCGUGAAGGAUGACUGCCCUAUGGGUUGUAAACUUCUUUUGUAUUGGGGGAAUAAGCCUUACGUGCAAGGUGAUGACUGUACAAUACGAAUAAGCAUCGGCUAACUCUGUGCCAGCAGCCGCGGUAAUACGUAGGGAGCGAGCGUUGUCCGGAAUUACUGGGUGUAAAGGGAGCGUAGGCGGGAAGGUAAGUUGGGUGUGAAAACUAUUGGCUCAACCAAUAGACUGCACUCAAAACUACUUUUCUUGAGUGAAGUAGAGGCAGGCGGAAUUCCUAGUGUAGCGGUGAAAUGCGUAGAUAUUAGGAGGAACACCAGUGGCGAAGGCGAUUCUCUGGGCCAAAACUGACGCUGAGGCGCGAAAGCGUGGGGAGCAAACA